AAUUUUAACAACACCGAAAUUCAAAAAUAUCGAAUACCAUGUUGAUGUUCCACAGUAGGAAAGUUGGAAUGAGUGUCACGAACAGGGGGAUCAUGGUCAGCUUGGGAUGGAAGAAGAUGACGACAUUUUUAAGACCGUUGCUGCAUUGCCUGAGAUGAUUUUCACAGCCCUGGCCUUUGAUAAAAGUGCAUAUACAUGUAGAUGCUUAACCAAUCAGUCACUAGGCUUGUGAAUAUGGAAUCCGGAUGCUCACAAGAGUUAGGACAAGAACUGUAUAAAAAAAUGAAAUUGUGCAAGGAAAGUUUGAAGUGUCUGUUUGAAUGAUCAACAUCGAACUUGCUGAGCCUUCGUACUAAAAGUGAAUCCAUUGGUGAUGCCAAAUAUCUGUCAGCCCUCUAUUGCAAAUUUCAUGGGAUAUCUGAGGAUGUGAUUCUAGCAACAUGUCAGAAGUUUUGUAUCUUCCAUAAUUGGGAUCUUUGGCACGUACAUUGGUGGAAAAUAGCAACUGUUCAUUUUUAUGGGAUCUUUGUAUCAAUGUAGUUGUGUACUACAUAUAUUUUUGCAUUUAAUACAUGUGUUUGUCACUCUAGUCACUAAUUUUGUACAGUAAAUGUACAUUGGCCAC